rnacentral:rRNA from 1 species
GAACAUUCUGUAGUAUUAGUAAGAGUAGGAAGGGUUAAGGAUUUACCAGGUGUGAGAUAUCGCAUUAUUUGAGGAACCCUAGAUGCUAUCGCAGUAAAGAAUCGUCAACAAGGGUGUUCUAGUGCAGUUGAAUAUUCGGGAGCAGUAAUUUAA